rnacentral:rRNA from 1 species
UACAGAGGGUGCAAGCGUUAAUCGGAAUUACUGGGCGUAAAGCGUGCGUAGACGGUUAUUUAAGUCAGGUGUGAAAGCCCAGGGCUCAACCUUGGAAUUGCAUUUGAGACUGAAUAGCUAGGGUGCGGAAGAGGGAAGCGGAAUUCCGGUGUAGCGGUGGUAAAUGACGUAGACGUAUCGGAAGGAACACCAGUGGCGAAAGGCGGCUUCCGUGGUCCAGCACCGGACGUUC